GCACUUUUCUACUCUAUUUUUGGGAAGACCCUAGAAAGAGGCAAAUCUAAACUUUAAAUUAUUUUCUCUAGGACUCGACAAGGAGAGGGAUAAAGAAACUGAGUAUGCAAGAAGAAAAGUCUGAUCUGUUUCUUCAGAGAUCACCUUCCCCAGGAAUGAAACCGAGAACAAAAACUACUUCUGCUCAAUCGAUUUUUCCAGAUAAUCAUCCAAAUACCACAACCCAAGCCUUCAUCACCAC
rnacentral:lncRNA from 1 species